rnacentral:rRNA from 1 species
GACGAACGCUGGCGGCGUGCCUAAUACAUGCAAGUCGAGCGGACGGAUGGGAGCUUGCUCCCAGACCGUCAGCGGCGGACGGGUGAGUAACACGUGGGCAACCUGCCUGUAAGACUGGGAUAACUCCGGGAAACCGGGGCUAAUACCGGAUAACUCUUUCCCUCACAUGAGGGAAAGCUGAAAGAUGGCAUCUCGCUAUCACUUACAGAUGGGCUCGCGGCGCAUUAGCUAGUUGGUGAGGUAACGGCUCACCAAGGCGACGAUGCGUAGCCGACCUGAGAGGGUGAUCGGCCACACUGGGACUGAGACACGGCCCAGACUCCUACGGGAGGCAGCAGUAGGGAAUCUUCCGCAAUGGACGAAAGUCUGACGGAGCAACGCCGCGUGAGUGAUGAAGGUUUUCGGAUCGUAAAACUCUGUUGCCAGGGAAGAACAAGUACCGGAGUAACUGCCGGUACCUUGACGGUACCUGACCAGAAAGCCACGGCUAACUACGUG